CUCCUCCAAGGUGACCAAGAACUGGUGAAGUGAAGUCAAUUUCCUAGUCUCCAUGAACAAAACUGUUCCUGAAGCGUCUCUACUGAUAAUAGGAAGCUUUUUACUUGCUCUUAACACAAUGCUAGAAGCAGCCUGUUACAAAGAAAGCACAACCUGAAAAUCUUAAUGGUAGGCUGUCCGGGCAUGCUGAAAGAUGUCGUUUUGCAACAGCUGGAGGCACACUGGUUGGGAAACACUGCUUUGGACCCAUGAGUGCAAUGCUUGAUAUUAAAU